rnacentral:lncRNA from 1 species
UCUUGCAUUUUUAAUGUGUUUUAAAUCUAAGAAAAUGAACAGGGUGGAAAUGAACAGAAGGGAAGCAAGAAAGAAGUGCGGUCAUCUGGAUGAUGAGGUCAGAAGUGAGAGCUAGACGGGAGAGCAAGUGUGGGAGGGGUUAAUAGACACACCGAGCAGAAAACAGUCUGCGGCAUGUUUGACUGUGGGACUCAGUGAGGGGGAGAAAUCUAAUUUGGCUCUGAGCUUUCUGGCUGUACUGAUUACAGCGAGAUACAGCCAGGAGCGGAUUCGGGAGGAAGCUGAUUAAUCUGGCAUCGGACACGCUGGGUGUGAAGGCUCAUGUUUCAUCCACGUGGAAGGCCUGGCAGACUCAAAUGAGAAGGAUGUACAAGUUCGGCCAACAGCCAUGCCUGUCUGGCUGUGUCUGCUAUGAGGGUGCAUGUGUACUGGAGGGAGCUGUGUUGGCACACAAAGAGGCUGUGGCACCAUUGCACCCUCAGGAACCAAAGGGAAUGGAAGAGGGAAUGAGCCCUAACCCACUCCGUGGACUUACUGCUCUGCUGGAAACACCAUAUGAAGAAGAAUAGGCCCUGAGACUAGAUGGAGAGAGAGGGGCUCAGCCGUUGCAGGGACCCAGCUGAGCCAGCUUUCCAGUCAUCCCUGCACAGUGGAUCAUCGUGGAGGAUUUAGACCUGCCUGCCAUCUAAUUGCAGCAGCAUUAAAGACCUCAAGACCAGCAGAACUGCCCGGCUAAGCCCCAUCAACCAUAGAGUUGGAAUGAUAAUGAAAUAACUGGGUUUUUUAAUUGAAUUAUGAUUGGCAUGCAAUAUUAUAUUGGCUUCUGGUAUAAAGCAUAUUGAUUCAGCAAUUCUGUAUGAUGGGACACCUGGGUGGCUUAGAGUUUGAACGUCUGCCUUCAGCUCAGGGCAUGAUCCCAGGGUCCUGGGAUUGAGUCCCACAUCGGGCUCCCUGCAGGGAGCCUGCUUGUUCCUCUGCCUAUGUUUCUGCCUCUCUCUGAGUCUCUCAUGAAUAAAUAAAUAAAAUCUUAAAAAAAAAAAAAAAAAACAAUUCUGUGCAUUACUCAGUGCUCACCCUGAUAAGUGUAGGCACCAUCUGUCAUCAUAUAAUAUUAUUACAAUAUUAUUGACUAUAUUUAUUUCCUAUGCUGUACUUUUCAUCUCUGGGACUUAUUAUUUUGUAACUGGAAGUCUGUACCCCUUAAUCCCUUUUAUCUAUUUCACCCACCCCCUACCUACCUCCCCACCAGUUUGUUCUUUCUACAUAAGAGUCUGUUUGUUGUUUGUUUGUUCGUUGGUUUUGUUUUUUAGAUUCCACAUAUAAGUGAAAUCACAUAGUAUUUGUCUUUCUCUCUCUGCCUUAUUUCACAUAGUAUAAUACCCUCUAGGUCCAUCCAGAAAUGCCUGUUGUUUUAAGCAUUAGGUUUUGGGGUGGCUUGUUAUACAGUAAUAGUCAGUCUACUUGGAGCUGAAGGUUAUAAAUAUACUAGCACUAAUUCUCACAAUAAUCUUGCCAGUGCUCUUCAAUUUACAUGAUAUGAAUUAAGACUCUGGAAUAUUAAAUUAGGUGUCAGGUAAGGCCAGGAUUUGAACCUCGUCUGUUAGCCCCAAAUGCCUGCCCUGCCUCCCAUUACCUUUGAGGAGCUCAGAGUCCAGCUGAAUAAGUGAGGUUUCUGUCUGCUCUCCGAAGGCCCCUUCAGUGCCCAGGGCAUCAGGGAACAAAAGAGCCCUGUGCAGGCUAUCACUUUUACCCCACAUCCUCUCUCCAUCCUUCUCCACCAUGCACCAUGUCUUGGGAGGUUUCACACCAUAGACUCUCUCAUCUGGGCUCACUUGUCCUCUGGUGGUCAGCUGGGUUCGGCCAGCAGUGUGAGGUGCCCAUGGAUGAUGCAAGGAUGUGGGAGAGAGAAUGUAAGGAUAUUUUUUCUUUGAUUCCUGAGGACUAGUUGUGUCCCUCUGGCUUCUGUCUGGUGACCCCUCUGGCACUCUGGCUCUCACUGGGCUCCAGUAACAUUGCUUUCUCUCCCGGUCCCUCCAGCCCUCGCCAUGGUAAGGCCUCCCAUUGCUAGUCUCUGUGUUCCUACCAACCCCAGUGUGUUCCUUUAACCCUGCACAUACUACUCCAUGUCUUCCUUCCUAGGAAUAACCUGAGGUACCUCGAGUUUGCUGCCAGGACUUCAACUGAUGUAAAUGUUUUUGAAAGGUAAAUAGCAAGCAUGUUUAUUCCUGUUACUUAAAGGAUAAAUGGUAUCAACCCAAUCCUUUACACCCUUCUCUUCCCAUAGGGAUAUGGUUGUCUUCUGCCUUAAUUUCUAGAACCAGCCCUGAGCUCAGGUUAGUAGGAUUUAGGAAGCCUCAGACCAAAAUGGCAGGGCAUACCUCAAUGCAUUCUUACUAUGGGGUCGGCUCUCAUCCCUUGAGUCCCAACUAAGUCCUGACCACAGUGCUGCCUUGGUUACAUGCUGAGUACCCACUACCUCCCAUCCCACCAGUUAGGGAGCCUGGCUCUUUUCUGCCAAACAUUCACUCCACCUGAGGACUAGAGUUGGGUUAUGAAAUACCACUGGCCAGUGAAUGAGUGGGGACUUCAUAUGCUGAAAUGUUGCUUGCUUGCUAAAAUUUCUGAGUAAUUCCUGGGAUGCCUGGUGACUCAGUUGGCUAAGUGCCUGCCUCCAAAACAGUCACCAUCUCAGGGUCCUGAGAUUGAGUUCCACAUCGGGCUCCACAGUCAUCAGGAAGUUUGCUUCUCCCCUCUCCCUCUGUGAUCUCUCUGGCUCUCUCUCAAAUAAGUAAAUAAAAUCUCCAAAAAAUAAAAUAAAAUAAAAAUUUUUAGUAAUUCCUGACCAUCAACUCUUAGAAGAGCCCUAGUUCAUGUUGAAUCUCCAUGAAAUCACAUUAUUAUCAAGAUUUCUUCCUGCUUCCAUUGCUAAAUGCCAUACAUUUUCUACUUGUCAGACCAGGAUUUCCUCACUUUCUGUGAUGGGCUACCUCUGAGUUCUGGUUUUUAACACGUGGAGCCCAAUCAGUCCGGCUCCCAGGCACCAAAGCUCACACAUCAUUCCUGUAAGCUAACAGUUUUGCUGAAACAUAUUGAAAAGAGUCUUCCUGUGAUUGUUUAAACCAAGUACACUUAUAGGUGCCAUUUGCUGCAGCAUGACAGUUCUGAAUUAAGUAAAAAUGGAUCAAUAAGAGUAAUCGUUGGGUUUUUAUCAUAAUGGUUGUUAGAAGCCACAGAGUCACCAUCUGGUAACUUAGGUAUUUGAGGAAGAUAGGAUUUCUUGGCAAGAGUGAGGCAAAAAUGAUUGUUAUACAUCCGAGAGAGCAUGGGAAGUGAAGAAGUAUGAAGAACCGGAAAAGACAAACAUUCUAGGGAAUUUCUUUUUCAAAAGAAACAAAGACAUGGAGGAGUAGCUUGAAGGGAAAUGGAAAUAAGGGAGUCCUUUGAAGAUUUUUUUGUAGAAGCAUUAUCCUUAGGAGGGGAGAGACACUUAGUGAUGGGACUCAAGGUCCCAAGGGGAAGGGCUGCCCAGAGCUAAAGACAGUUUAUCCAUCAUCAUCGGAGGGAAGGCAGGAUUAUGGGCAGAGAUGCAGAUAGUUUGGGAAAUGUAAAGAUAGGAAGUGGAAGUUUUUUUUUGAUGGCUUCCAUCAUCUCAGGCAAACAGUAAGCAGGAACCAGCUGAGAAUGAAAAAGAAGAGUUUGGGAAGAGAGAAGCUGUGCAGGGUCCCAUGGGAGUGUGAGUGAAGUGACCAGGGGUGGUGGACAAAGCCGAGUUCCUCAAGAAGUUUGGCUCCCUAAGCUCACAACCACACAUCCAGCAUGGCUGUGUUUUUCCUCCAGCUAUAUUCAACUCUUUGGAUAUAAGAGUGGAAUAAGCAGAGAAGCGGGUUGGAUCCACAUGGAGGUCUUGCCGGAUGAGCACAAUGAGAACAAGAGACCGUGUAACAGAGCAGAGUUAUAAUGAUGGGCCGUGGAAUCGAAUUUGAAGAAGAAGAGUAAGCAGCAAAGAGCAGAAAAUGGAAAAAAAAAAAAGGGAUAAAAAGGAUAAAAUGAAUAGAUUAGAAAUCUCAUAUUGAAAUUUCACAGAUUACACAGGGAAUUCUAAAUGCAAAAGGGUACUAAGAUUGAAUCCUUCUUUGGGAUUAAAGUAUGAUGUCAGAGAAAUUUCUUCAUCCUCUCCUUCUGCUUCUCCUUCUUCUUCUAGAAAUAUCCUAUAGGCCUAAAAGUCCUCUUUGAGUAGACUAAUUACUGAUGGAAAAGCAUGGAUUGAAAUCCUUUGAUAAAGAGGCAUAAAUACUAGUAGGUAGAGCAUGAAAGAAACAUAAAUACCUACCCCUUCAGCCAGAGUGUGAACAACUUCUAAUUGGGUUACUUCCAAAAUUAAAAAAAAAAAAAUUAUUUUAAAAGGAGAGGUAUAAAUUCAAGCAAAUAGCACUAGAAUGAUAUUGGGCCUAUUGGUUUCUACAAUUUUCAGAAAAAGAAAAAAAAAGUUUCUCCCAGGGAGAAAGAGCCCCAGGAAGUUCAGAGCAGCUGACCAAACUGCUUUGGUUCAUUUCCAUCUCCCCAUGCAGGCACAGCCUGAGUCACAGCUCACUCCUAAGUUGCGUACUUAGAAAAGCAAAUUAACUAUUUCAAGUCAGCAGGGAAAUUACACUUAUAGCAAUAGUAAUUGUAGAAGUGCGAAAUUGUGUGGCACUGACCAUAUGCUUUCCAAGGGGACUUUGCCACCAUGCAGAAGUGGUCCAUGGAGUUCUGAGAAGUCAACAGUAGCUUUAAAAAUAUUUAAGCAAAGUAGAAGAAAGUGGUAAACCGGGUUUCCCCAGAUAUGACCUAAUCUUACAUAUGGUAAUGAAUGGCUCAGAUAGACUUGUAAAUAAGCUAUGAAUCUGAUCUAGGAAGACCUUGGUAGCUUUUCUUUUUAUCUUUUAUGGACAGCUUCUGUGUUUUCCUCAACUGCAUUCCCAAGAGUAUAGGAAUUAGAUCAGAGACAUUUGUGGAAGGGAACUAAUACAUUCUAGGCAGGUGUGCAAAGGUAUAAAUUGCAUACUCUAUGCAACCGUGGCAUCCCCAGUAGCCUGGGUGUGUUAUAAAAAUUCCCCUUGGAGAAAUUCCAGGUUCUGUAGCUUCAUCUUUGUCUGGAUUUGAUACUCAUCUCCCAUGAGGGAGAUAGAAGAAGGGAACUAACAUGUUGGCUGCCCCACCAUGGACCAGACAUUCCUCACACAAGUCUGAUGCAUAGUAGGGAUGGGUAUUAUCAUCAGAAAAGGAAACUGGGUUUAAGUAAGUGAUGGAGCUGGGAUUCAAACCCAGACUAUAAAUCCAGUUGCAACUGAUUAAUAACACCUUGUUCCUUUGAGUGAACCAAACAGUGCUUUCAUUUUAAAGCUU